rnacentral:rRNA from 1 species
UACGGGGGGGGCAAGCGUUGUUCGGAAUUACUGGGCGUAAAGGGCUCGUAGGCGGCCAACUAAGUCAGACGUGAAAUCCCUCGGCUUAACCGGGGAACUGCGUCUGAUACUGGAUGGCUUGAGUUUGGGAGAGGGAUGCGGAAUUCCAGGUGUAGCGGUGAAAUGCGUAGAUAUCGUAAGGAAGGACAGUGGCGAAGGCGGGUCUCUGGACAGUUCCUGACGCUGAGGCACGAAGGUCAGGGGAGCAAACGGG